rnacentral:rRNA from 1 species
CAGUCGCCGCGGUAAUACGUAGGUGGCAAGCGUGGUCCGGAAUUAUUGGGCGUAAAGGGCUCGCAGGCGGUUUCUUAAGUCUGAUGUGAAAGCCCCCGGCUCAACCGGGGAGGGUCAUUGGAAACUGGGAAACUUGAGUGCAGAAGAGGAGAGUGGAAUUCCACGUGUAGCGGUGAAAUGCGUAGAGAUGUGGAGGAACACCAGUGGCGAAGGCGACUCUCUGGUCUGUAACUGACGCUGAGGAGCGAAAGCGUGGGGAGCGAACAGGAUUAGAUACCCGAGUAGUCCCUGUCUCUUAUAC